rnacentral:rRNA from 1 species
GACGUAGGAGGCGAGCGUUGUCCGGAUUCAUUGGGCGUAAAGAGCGCGCAGGCGGCUUGGUAAGUCGGAUGUGAAAUCCCGAGGCUCAACCUCGGGUCUGCAUCCGAUACUGCCCGGCUAGAGGUAGGUAGGGGAGAUCGGAAUUCCUGGUGUAGCGGUGAAAUGCGCAGAUAUCAGGAGGAACACCAAUAGCGAAGGCAGCUCGCUGGGACGGUACUGACGCUAAGGCGCGAAAGCGUGGGGAGCAAACAGG